GACGAACGCUGGCGGCGUGCUUAACACAUGCAAGUCGAACGGAAAGGCCCUGCUUUUGUGGGGUGCUCGAGUGGCGAACGGGUGAGUAACACGUGAGUAACCUGCCCUUGACUUUGGGAUAACUUCAGGAAACUGGGGCUAAUACCGGAUAGGAGCUCCUGCUGCAUGGUGGGGGUUGGAAAGUUUCGGCGGUUGGGGAUGUACUCGCGGCUUAUCAGCUUGUUGGUGGGGUAGUGGCUUACCAAGGCUUUGACGGGUAGCCGGCCUGAGAGGGUGACCGGCAACAUUGGGACUGAGAUACGGCCCAGACUCAUACGGGAGGAAGCAGUGGGGAAUAUUGCACAAUGGGCGGAAGCCUGAUGCAGCAACGCCGCGUGCGGGAUGACGGCCUUCGGGUUGUAAACCGCUUUCGCCUGUGACGAAGCGUGAGUGACGGUAAUGGGUAAAGAAGCACCGGCUAACUACGUG
rnacentral:rRNA from 1 species